rnacentral:rRNA from 1 species
GAUGAACGCUGGCGGCGUGCCUAAUACAUGCAAGUCGAGCGAACGGACGAGAAGCUUGCUUUUCUGAUGUUAGCGGCGGACGGGUGAGUAACACGUGGAUAACCUACCUAUAAGACUGGGAUAACUUCGGGAAACCGGAGCUAAUACCGGAUAAUAUUUUGAACCGCAUGGUUCAAAAGUGAAAGACGGUCUUGCCGUCACUUAUAGAUGGAUCCGCGCUGCAUUAGCUAGUUGGUAAGGUAACGGCUUACCAAGGCAACGAUGCAUAGCCGACCUGAGAGGGUGAUCGGCCACACUGGAACUGAGACACGGUCCAGACUCCUACGGGAGGCAGCAGUAGGGAAUCUUCCGCAAUGGGCGAAAGCCUGACGGAGCAACGCCGCGUGAGUGAUGAAGGUCUUCGGAUCGUAAAACUCUGUUAUUAGGGAAGAACAUAUGUGUAAGUAACUGCGCACAUCUUGACGGUACCUAAUCAGAAAGCCACGGCUAACUACGUGCCAGCAGCCGCGGUAAUACGUAGGUGGCAAGCGUUAUCCGGAAUUAUUGGGCGUAAAGCGCGCGUAGGCGGUUUUUUAAGUCUGAUGUGAAAGCCCACGGCUCAACCGUGGAGGGUCAUUGGAAACUGGAAAACUUGAGUGCAGAAGAGGAAAGUGGAAUUCCAUGUGUAGCGGUGAAAUGCGCAGAGAUGUGGAGGAACACCAGUGGCGAAGGCGACUUUCUGGUCUGUAACUGACGCUGAUGUGCGAAAGCGUGGGGAUCAAACAGGAUUAGAUACCCUGGUAGUCCACGCCGUAAACGAUGAGUGCUAAGUGUUAGGGGGUUUCCGCCCCUUAGUGCUGCAGCUAACGCAUUAAGCACUCCGCCUGGGGAGUACGACCGCAAGGUUGAAACUCAAAGGAAUUGACGGGGGCCCGCACAAGCGGUGGAGCAUGUGGUUUAAUUCGAAGCAACGCGAAGAACCUUACCAAAUCUUGACAUCCUUUGACAACUCUAGAGAUAGAGCCUUCCCCUUCGGGGGACAAAGUGACAGGUGGUGCAUGGUUGUCGUCAGCUCGUGUCGUGAGAUGUUGGGUUAAGUCCCGCAACGAGCGCAACCCUUAAGCUUAGUUGCCAUCAUUAAGUUGGGCACUCUAAGUUGACUGCCGGUGACAAACCGGAGGAAGGUGGGGAUGACGUCAAAUCAUCAUGCCCCUUAUGAUUUGGGCUACACACGUGCUACAAUGGACAAUACAAAGGGCAGCGAAACCGCGAGGUCAAGCAAAUCCCAUAAAGUUGUUCUCAGUUCGGAUUGUAGUCUGCAACUCGACUACAUGAAGCUGGAAUCGCUAGUAAUCGUAGAUCAGCAUGCUACGGUGAAUACGUUCCCGGGUCU